GGGUUGAAGUGGCGGCUGUAGAUAAAGAAAUCGCGGUCGGCGCCGAGCUCGCCGGUGAACAUGCGACGCAUCGUGUCUGGCUCCAUGACAGUGAAGGUCGCCGAGGCUUCGAUUGACAUGUUGACGCCGCCGUGCUCGCCGAACUCGUGACGGGCGCUGGCAAGGGCCUGAGCGGGGUCCCAGAGGCCCGACGGCGGGGUCGAUUUCUUGGCGACGAUCCAUUCGUCGGAGUUGUCGUCGCCGUCAUGGCCGCGCUUCUUGUUGUUGUUGAGCUGCGCCGGCGGCGCUGCAGAGAUGGGGGAGAUGGAGGCCAUUGGUGGGGAUGAAUUCUCGGGUUUGAGUUUUU
rnacentral:misc_RNA from 1 species